AGGUAAGGCAGCGGGCCACCUCAUUCUCCCCUGGACGAGGCGCUGGGCUGGACGAAGAAGGGGCUUGCUGAUACGGAGAAACGAGUCUUGAAUCAGGGUGAACAGCUGUCUCGGUGGCCUUGGAAACUUGUGCGCACCACCACCACCACCACCACCACCAGUGUCGCGCCUUCACACCAACUAGUUUGUGGCACAGAUUGGAAGCCUGAAGACCACCAAGCCCAGUGUGUUGCAGUGAGGUUGGGGAGUGAAGUGUAUAGAAGUUCAUUAUGGUAAAAAAAAAUGCUGACGGCGACGUGCGGGCCUUUCCUGCACCACCACCACCACCAGGCCUGGCCAUCACCGCGGCGUUGAGGACCUCGCAGUGCUGUUGCCUGGGCGAGGAAACACACCCUCCCUCUACUGCUGACAUUGCCGGCCGUCUCGUGCCACUGCCGGUCGCGCAUGAUGGACAGAGUUGGCGGCGCUGCUGCUGCUGCUGCUGCUGACUACAGAGCCACGUGUUCAAGGAGUCCAGGAGAUUCUCAGAUUGUUGGGAAAAAAAAAAAAAAAAAAAAUUAAAAGGUGUUUUUGCCUUCCGAUUUGUGUGUUCCGCGUUUUUCCCCGAGGUCUCUGCGGCUUUCCUUUGGUCUCUUAGAGGUAUCAUUAUUAUUAUUUGCGUCUUUCCUUUGGUCUCUUAGAGGUCCUCUAUCAUUAUUUUUAUUUGCAUGUUUCUCCGGACACUCUCUGAGGUAUCAUUAUUAUUGCGUCUUUCUCCGGAGCCUCUUUGAGGUAUCAUUACGAUUAGGAUGCCCGCGCCUCCGGAGACAGGUAUUAUUAUUAUAAUGUUGGAGACGUUAAUGUAAUUAUUAUUACAAUUGAGGUCGGAGACUCGUUGAGGUAUCAUUAGGAGGAUAUCAGGGACGGGGGAAGUCCACGCUGGAAGAGGCUGUGCAAGGAAACUUAUAAAAUACAAUUAAAAAUACAAUUCAAAAUGCAAACAA